CUGUAGUGAAUAGAAAUUUUGGUGUGGUGGCCAAAUGCUUUACUGUUUGGCAGACUUGUUCAUCAUUGCUGUAGCAUGGAGACUCCUUCCAGCUAUUGUACGCGUCUUUUUUUUUGUUUCAUUUAUUUGUUUGCUUCAUUUAUUCUUUCUUUGAAACCAUGUUUUUGUAUUUGUUUGCAGGAUUAAAUAUGUUAUCUUGCCCAAUACUUUCCUCAUGUGGCUGUUAUGACGAGCACCUUUCUUUGUGAGUUACUCUCUCUAGAUUUUUGAAAAUGGUAGAUCAAUGCAACUUAGUAAAAGCCUGCUGAAUCUGUAGCUAGAAUUGGUAGCACACUGCAACGUUUCAAAGCAAUAAAUUAAUAAUGUAAGAUGGUGGCGGGGAUUUUACAUCAACCUAUUGGGGCGUCUGUCCAUUCUAGAGGAAUGUGCAUGAACUGAGAGAACUUUCAUGAUGGAACCACCAAGUUCGAUUUUAGUUUCUCCCUCUUGCUAGUCUGCUUCAUUUUCUUCUAUUUUUUUAGUACAAGUACUAUGCCUAUCCUGUGCAUUAGUUUAUAGCUGAUCUAAUAUAUUUAACACUGUCUUAUUUAGGUGGCGGUGAUGUAUUAAAUAAUCUCUAACAAAUUAAUACGCUUAAAUGGUGAUGCCACUGCUCAAAUCCAAACACUGAAGAACGCAUAUAUAUUGCAUGGUCUGCCAUCGGAGCACCUUUGGAGGAAGAAGUUCACCUCAAGCCAUCGGAGUGAAAUUCUCAUUGCCAUAACCAGCUUUCACAGGGAAGCAUAAGGUGAUCCAUGAUCUUCACGUAGUAUGUAGAAUCUGGAGGAAAUCUAAUAUAUCUCUUAUGUAUAAUUUGUAUGUAGAUUUCGUGAGAAUUUGUCACAUUCAAAACUACAUUACCUGACUAACUUAUUUUUUGCCAGAUCAUAUCAUGAGUUACUGUUUACAUGUACUGUAGCUUCAUGAAGAAAAGAAAUAGGAUACAUUUUCUAGCCUUAUAUUCAUUUAUUUUUACUGUAAUGUCUAAGAAUGAAAGCACUCAGGUUCUGCACCUUCCAGUAGUUUAAUUUGUCUAAUAUGUUACCUUUUGCACAAGUGGGGCUUGUGUGAUAACUUGGCAUCUGCAACUUGGUUGCGUCUGAAUUUAGGGUCAAAAGAGUGAGGACCUUAACGCGCAAUAGCGUGGACCAGUGGACGAGGAUGAUAUCAUGGAGUCAGGAGAAAGGCUUGUUGGAAGUAGAAUAUAAUGAGGCAAUGUUAUGUUCUUUUUUCUAUUAAUUAACUUUACAGUGAUAUGUGUUGAAAGCCUGAAAGUGUAGGCCAUACCAAGGUUGAUGACAUCAAAAUGAUGUAAACAAUUAUCCAUCUCUUGAUUCAUUGCAGAUCUGAAAUUUGGAAAAGGCAAUAUUAAUCUUCCCCACUAAAUGGUUGUAUUAUGCCCCCAGUAUCAAUGAGUCCUGGUUUACAAAGUAAGCAGUCACCCUAAGUUUUUUUCAUUCCUUUGGUAGUUGUGGAUAAGUUUUUACGUUGGCUCGCCAAGCCUAUCACAACCCUCCUCCUUUAGCCGGUCCCAAGCCCGGGUAAAGGAGGAGGGUUGUGAUAGGNNNNNNNNNNNNNNNNNNNNNNNNNNNNNNNNNNNNNNNNNNNNNNNNNNNNNNNNNNNNNNNNNNNNNNNNNNNNNNNNNNNNNNNNNNNNNNNNNNNNNNNNNNNNNNNNNNNNNNNNNNNNNNNNNNNNNNNNNCCGCCUAUGUUGUCUCAACAUAGCCGGUCCCAAGCCCGGGUAAAGGAGGAGGGUUGUGAUAGGCUUGGCGAGCCAACGUAAAAACUCAGCCACUCUUAUGGAGAUGAAACCCAAAAGAUUUUCGUUGGGGCGUAACCCUCUCAGCGACGCGCCACAUCGGAACCCGGGUGUGGUGGAAAGUGGGCAAGGGCCGGGCCGUCACCCCCCAAGUGGCGCGCCGUAUCUUGAUCCGGAUACGGUGGCAAGUGAGCGAGGAUCGGGUCGUCGCAUCCUUAGUGGCGCGCUACAUCGGCGCCCGGGUGUAGUGGAAAAUGAGCAAGGGUCUUCGCAUUUGACUCGACGGGUGCGAAGGGUAAGGAAGCUAGCCGAGCCUAGGAGGAUUCGCUUAGGUAGCUGGAACGUAGGGUCUCUGACAGGGAAGCUUCGGGAGCUAGUUGAUGCAGCGGUGAGGAGAGGUGUUGAUAUCCUUUGCGUCCAAGAAACCAAAUGGAGAGGACAGAAGGCGAAGGAGGUGGAGGAUACCGGCUUCAAGCUGUGGUACACGGGGACGGCUGCAAACAGAAAUUGUUAGGCAUCUUGAUCAACAAGAGCCUCAAGUAUGGAGUGGUAGACGUCAAGAGACGUGGGGACCGGAUUAUCUUGGUCAAGCUGGUAGUUGAGGACUUGGUUCUCAAUGUUAUCAGCGCGUAUGCCCCGCAAGUAGGCCACAAUGAGAACACCAAGAGGGAGUUCUGGGAAGGCCUGGAAGACAUGGUUAGGAGUGUACCGAUUGGUGAGAAGCUCUUCAUAGGAGACCUCAAUGGCCACGUGGGUACAUCUAACACAUGUUUUGAAGGGGCGCAUGGGGGCUUUGGCCAUGGCAUCAGGAAUCAAGAAGGAGAAGAUGUCUUAAGCUUUGCUCUAGCCUACAACAUGAUUGUAGCUAACACCCUCUUUAGAAAGAGAGAAUCACAUCUGGUGACUUUUAGUAGUGGCCAACACUCUAGCCAGAUUGAUUUCAUCCUCUCAAGAAGAGAAGAUAGGCGUGCGUGCCUAGACUGUAAGGUGAUACCUGGAGAGAGUGUUGUACCCCAGCAUAAGCUGGUGGUUGCUGACUUCCGCUUUCGGAUUCGUGUCCAGCGGGAUAAGCGUGCCAAAGUCGCUAGAACGAAGUGGUGGAAGCUCAAGGGGGAGGUAGCUCAGGUGUUCAAGGAGAGGGUCAUUAAGGAGGGCCCUUGGGAGGAAGGAGGGGAUGCGGACAAUGUGUGGAUGAAGAUGGCGACUUGCAUUCGUAAGGUGGCCUCGGAGGAGUUUGGAGUGUCCAGGGGAAGGAGAAGCGAAGAUAAGGAUACCUGGUGGUGGAAUGAUGAUGUCCAGAAGGCGAUUAAAGAGAAGAAAGAUUGCUUCAGACGCCUAUACCUGGAUAGGAGUGCAGACAACAUAGAGAAGUACAAGAUGGCGAAGAAGGCCGCAAAGCGAGCUGUUGGUGAAGCAAGGGGUCAGGCAUAUGAGGACCUCUACCAACGGUUAGGCACGAAGGAAGGUGAAAGGGACAUCUAUAAGAUGGCCAAGAUCCGAGAGAGGAAGACGAGGGACAUUGGCCAAGUCAAAUGCAUCAAGGACGGAGCAGGCCAACUCUUGGUGAAGGACGAGGAGAUUAAGCAUAGAUGGCGGGAGUACUUCGACAAGCUGUUCAAUGGGGAGAAUGAGAGUUCUACCAUUGAACUAGACGACUCCUUUGAUGAGACCAGCAUGCGUUUUGUGCGGCGAAUCCAGGAGUCUGAGGUGAAGGAGGCUUUAAAAAGGAUGAAAGGAGGCAAGGCGAUGGGCCCUGAUUGUAUCCCCAUUGAGGUGUGGAGAGGUCUCGGGGACAUAGCAAUAGUAUGGCUAACCAAGCUUUUCAACCUUAUUUUUCGGGCAAACAAGAUGCCAGAAGAAUGGAGACGGAGUAUAUUAGUACCAAUCUUCAAGAACAAGGGGGAUGUUCAGAGUUGUACUAAUUACCGUGGAAUUAAGCUGAUGAGCCAUACAAUGAAGCUAUGGGAGAGAGUCAUUGAGCACCGCUUAAGAAGAAUGACAAGCGUGACCAAAAAUCAGUUUGGUUUCAUGCCUGGGAGGUCGACCAUGGAAGCCAUUUUCUUGGUACGACAACUUAUGGAGAGAUAUAGGGAGCAAAAGAAGGACUUGCAUAUGGUGUUCAUUGACUUGGAGAAGGCCUAUGAUAAGAUACCGCGGAAUGUCAUGUGGUGGGCCUUGGAGAAACACAAAGUCCCAGCAAAGUACAUUACCCUCAUCAAGGACAUGUAUGAUAAUGUUGUGACAAGUGUUCGAACAAGUGAUGUCGACACCGAUGACUUCCCGAUUAAGAUAGGACUGCAUCAAGGGUCAGCUUUGAGCCCUUAUCUUUUUGCAUUGGUGAUGGAUGAGGUCACAAGGGAUAUACAAGGAGAUAUCCCAUGAUGUAUGCUCUUUGCGGAUGAUGUGGUGCUAGUUGACGAUAGUCGGACGGGGGUAAAUAGGAAGUUAGAGUUAUGGAGACAAACCUUGGAAUCGAAAGGGUUUAGGCUUAGUAGAACUAAAACCGAGUACAUAUGUGCGGUUUCAGUACUACUAGGUGUGAGGAGGAGGUUAGCCUUGAUGGCCAGGUGGUACCUCGGAAGGACACCUUUCGGUAUUUGGGGUCAAUGUUGCAUGAGGAUGGGGGUAUUGAUGAAGAUGUGAACCAUCGAAUGAAAGCCGGAUGGAUGAAGUGGCGCCAAGCUUCUGGCAUUCUCUGUGACAAGAGAGUGCCACAAAAGCUAAAAGGCAAGUUCUACAGGACGGCGGUUCGACCCGCAAUGUUGUAUGGCGCGAAGUGUUGGCCGACUAAAAGGUGACAUGUUCAACAGUUAGGUGUGGCGGAGAUGCGUAUGUUGAGAUGGAUGUGUGGCCACACGAGGAAGGAUCGAGUCCGGAAUGAUGAUAUACGAGAUAGAGUUGGGGUAGCACCAAUUGAGGAGAAGCUUGUCCAACAUCGUCUGAGAUGGUUUGGGCAUAUUCAGCGCAGGCCUCCAGAAGCUCCAGUGCAUAGCGGACGGCUAAAGCGUGCGGAGAAUGUCAAGAGAGGGCGGGGUAGACCGAAUUUGACAUGGGAGAAGUCCGUUAAGAGAGACCUGAAGGAUUGGAGUAUCACCAAAGAGCUAGCUAUGGACAGGGGUGCGUGGAAGCUUGCUAUCCAUGUGCCAGAGCCAUGAGUUGGUUGCGAGAUCUGAUGGGUUUCACCUCUAGCCUACCCCAACUUGUUUGGGACUAAAGGCUUUGUUGUUGUUGUUGUUGUUGUUGUUGGUAGUUGUGGAUACAAUACAGUAGCUCAGGGACAAAAGCCAGUCCAUUAGUUCAGGCAAAAAAAGGCAAUCAAUUAGAGCUGGCGCAACAUUCCUAUUUGUAGGUUUUAUAUCAUACUGUUUCUGUAAAUUGUCAAUAAAUUGAAUUAAAUUCAAUACAUGACAUAAUUUGAUUGCCACCUGAUUUGUGUUCAAAAUUUUAACUCAAGCACCAUUGUACUAUUUGCAAUAAUAUAUUAGGAUUAGUAAAAUAUCAGGUAAAUAUAUAGUUGAUGCCAUUGUUCUUUCAACCCCCUUACGAAAAUUCAGUUCUAGCUCCAAAGCGAGCAGUUGAAUUAGUACUUAUAAUGAAGGUACCAAUGGUUAGCUAAAAUUGAUAGAAAAGAUUUUUUUUACGUGUUCACCUCAAACCUGUAUCUGAUCUUGUUCUAUAGUGCCUUUAUCUGAGAUUAUAUUCUGAGUUUACAGGAAAAUGAAAAAGCUAUCAUGUGAACUUUAGUAUGGCCAUGAGAUAGUGGUGCUUCCUCUCUCCUACCUGGCUAAUUUAUUUUAUUUUUAUCUGUUGUAUUACACAAUUAAAAAUUAUAUAUACCAUCUGCAAAGGUAUUCGUUCACAUUUGAAACAUAUAAUUCUAUUUUUUUAGAAAUUAUAUGAGUAUGAAUGGAAAAAAGGUGUUAGUCUCAGGAGCACUAUGAAUUCUUUCAAAAGUACAAAAGCUACUGCAAUAGAAACAAAAAACAAACAUUAUGUACUUGUUCUAAGGAAAGUAAUUUGUUUAUUUCAUUCGGCUGGUUUGUAAGUACAUGAUUCAGAAAGGAUAAAUUACUGACAGUUUCUGACUAUUUUUCUCCCAUAUUCAGGAGUCGGACUCACAGACGUUGAUCCAAGCACUCAAUGCCGGUGAUUUUUAUGUGGCGGAUUAUGGUGUACUACCUCAUAAUGUGAGGAGUACCUGCAUGGCGACCGUCUGAUAGGCAUGAGUUUAUCUUUUGCUGUUUUCAUGUAAUUCUGUUGCCCAUGCCAUAGCGAAAUUUGGGUACCAUUCGGCUACGGCUUCUAUAUUCUGGCUAGAGUCUAACCCAGACUUUGUAUCAAUUUUGGUUGCCAAUGACUCUGCUGAGCUUCUUGGUUAAUGAAAUCAUUUGAAAAUACUUGUUUCGCGUGCUUUGUAGGGAAGCCACCCUACAAGGCAAAUAAAUUUGUAACGAAGAACUAAGCUAAUCUAUGAGCACCCAUAUUCUAAUUGCC
rnacentral:lncRNA from 1 species